GGCAGUCGCCGGUGGUCGUGCAGGUUUAUAGCCGCCGACUUCAGGGCUUAUUUUGCACUGAAACAUUGUUUUGCAAUCCAAUUUUCAUAUAUGUACCGGCACAAUAGACCCUCUACUUCUAUCUUUUGCUGAAAACCACAAAUUGUCUGACCAUGUCAUGUUCCCUUUUAGACAAUGGAACACUGGUUUCAAAAAUUCAUACAAUCGUAGACUUGGUUCACACACAGCUGUGCUGAAACAUGCUGGCUUUUCAUGGCACUCGCACCCAGUGGCUUGGCAGCUACGACGUUGCGCCGAUCAGCACUAGGACGAAGACCACAGUAGAUGCAUUUAGCUGGGAGCAAAAUGCAGACAACUGCGUAGUUGUAAAAUUAGGUGCCCAUUAGGAACUCCAUGAAAUAAAGAGCCCCAAGUCCAACCUGCACGUCAUCUUGCCGUAGUUUUUGAAAAUAGAAUCUUAAAUUUGAAUUAUUUCUACUUAAUAACUACGAGACGUGUCGAUGCAGCUUUGCAAAGGGGCGGCGACACCUGUACUAUGGACUGCAAAACCAGGAAACACUGACAAGGAGGUGCACCGCCAGCAAUUCAGGGACCACUGAAAUAGCCAUCAUUGCUGCGAGCUUCGCUAGCGGCACCAACUUGGCAGCACUGCAUCUGGUGCACGCAAUGGACGAUCCCGCAGGUCCUUCGUGUAUUUCAUCCAGCCCUUGCUCCACCAAAGACGACUUCCGCGGUUUGACCGUCCCUCAGCCGACAGUUUCUCCUCCCUGCUGGUGCCCCACUGCUUUCUCGUAAUGGACCUUUGCUCGGCGAUCUGCAGUCACUUGCCUUGCCAACUUUCGCACCUGGCACACGCAAGGGACAAUCCUGCCAGUCCUUGUACGUCAUCCACUCCUUGCUUCAGAGAAGAUGACGACCCCACUAGACCGUCCCUCAGCAGACGGUGUUUCUUCUC
rnacentral:lncRNA from 1 species